UGGGGAAUAUUGCACAAUGGGGGAAACCCUGAUGCAGCGACGCCGCGUGAACGAAGAAGGUAUUCGUAUCGUAAAGUUCUGUCCUAUGGGAAGAUAAUGACAGUACCAUAGAAGAAAGCUCCGGCUAAAUACGUGCCAGCAGCCGCGGUAAUACGUAUGGAGCGAGCGCUGUCCGGAAUUAUUGGGCGUAAAGGGUACGCAGGCGGUUUAAUAAGUCGAAUGUUAAAGAUCCGGGCUCAACCCCGUAAAGCAUUGGAAACUGAUAAACUAGAGUAGUGGAGAGGAAAGUGGAAUUCCUGGUGUAGUGGUGAAAUACGUAUAUAUUAGGAGGAAUACAAGUAGCGAGGGCGACUUUCUGGACACAAACUGACGCUGAGAUACGAAAGCGUGGGGAGCAAACAGG
rnacentral:rRNA from 1 species